GGCCCCUGCUGCGGCCGAACGAAAGUUGGGGGGCAACAUCUCAGCUGAGUCAGGAGUUACGCCUCGGAGGUCCUUCUCUCGGAACAUCUUCCGCCAGGAUGGGGAGCGGCUGAAGGACUUGGCACUGUCCUAGGAGCAAGGCCAGGUCAGAGUAGUCGAAGGUCUCGUCCAGGGCGAGCAGCGCCCCGUGCACCCCGCUCUCCGUGAGGUUCGUGGCGAAUUCCUUCAGGCCCAGCCCGGACACCCAACCCAUGACCCGCUCAUUGGACCACACCAUCACGUCUGGGGACAGAAGGGACCCUCAGCUGCUCCCCUCCUGGGGCCAGGCCCUUCCAAUUUAUCCCAUAUCUCCACUCCCACUUCCUCUUCCUGGCCACGCCCCUAUGCUGGCUCCAUCCCCUCUUCCCUGGCCUCCCUCCCCUCCCCUAUUUAUGCCUCCUCCAGCACUGCUCCAAACCCCUCCAACGUGGCUCCCAGCUGGACGUUUACACUUUUCUACUCA